GUUGUUGUAGCUCAGUGGUAGAGCAUCCCGAUUUUUGAUCGGGAAGGUCGCGGGUUCAAUUCCCUUCAACGGCUCCA
rnacentral:tRNA from 1 species